rnacentral:rRNA from 1 species
AACGUAGGUGGCGAGCGUUAUCCGGAUUUACUGGGCGUAAAGGGUGUGCAGGCGGGUGGACAAGUGGGGUAUGAAAGGUUUCGGCUCAACCGAGAUAGGUUAUGCCAGACUGUUUACCUAGAGUGUGAGAGAGGGACGUGGAAUUCCGGGUGUAGUGGUGAAAUGCGUAGAGAUCCGGAAGAACACCAAAGGCGAAGGCAGCAUCCUGGGAAGUUCCUGACGCUCGGGUGCGAAAGCCAGGGGAGCGAACGGG